UUCAGAAUCUCUUGAUCUGGAGAUCCGGCCAGCCAAGAAAUUUUAGCGUUAUAACGUGAAAGAAUUUUAAAAUUAAAUUAUUUUAUUUUUAUGUGAUUUUAUUUUAUUUUUAUGUGAAAAAUACUUCAUCUCCGGGCUCUCGAUUAUUACAAAUAUUUUAAUAUGGCUCUCUUGGUAAAAAAAAAAAGAAAUUAGGAAUCUCUUAUUUUAAACGAUUCUUUCAAAAAUUUUCACGUCGCUUAUAAUAAUACAGAACGUUAUUCCUCGCAAUACUUUUUCCUUCAUUAAUCUUAUUAAAAUUUUUCUUUUUUUUUUGUCAACAAGGCGAUAAUCCAAAGUUCAUUCGGUUGGGAUAUAAUAGUUCAUAGCUUCUGGACUUUGUAGUUUCUCAGACCUCCUUUAUAUGGAGAUAAGUAAACGCAAAAGAAAAAAAAAUAAAAUGGAUAAUCUUUCUUUGGAAAAAUUUCAAUUGCUUCAUGUUCGUUAAAUGCCACGCUCUACUUGUUUUACAUAAAGUAAGAUCGUUAUUUUUAUGACUCUUUAAAAAGAAAACGAUGAAAAAGAACAGUGGGAAUUGCUCCUACUUCCGACAGUCUAUCGCACGACACGGUGCGGCUCGGCAAACAAAAGGCGGAACAGAAUUUAUAACACGGUUUCGUACAUUGUUAAUCUUGUGUAAUCGAUUCGCGGGAAGGCUGAGCAAACGACGGCAAUCAAGCCGUCAGACAGCGAUUCCAAACGUCGUAUGAUCCCAAAGAUGGAGUAACGCGGAAAUGGAGAAGGCGAAUAAGAGCGAGCAUCCAAAGCUAUAUCCUCAUUAGUGGAAAAAGUUGUGGAUGCGGACGUGCGGCGAGAAAUUUAAGAGAUAAUGAUAGUAACGGUGAGAUAAUUCGGUGAUACGGUCAUAUCGAUGAUAAGAGUGGCAACAAAGGUGUGAAUCGUGUCGGGCAUCAUUCUACAUUAUUUCUGAUGGUACGCGAGCAAUAAGGACGCGAUUUAUGCUCUCCCGGGUGCGGUAAACGUUGACGUGCAGGUCAGGACUGCCAUAGAGACCCUUUUGUUCGCGACUUAAGGGAAAUCAAAGUGGGACGUAAAGUUGCAUCGUGACGCAAUUUCGCGACGAUUUAAGUGGAAUGUUGCUGAUGAACGUUAAUCGUGUGGAUUUAACUGGGAUGAUGCGCAAGGUGAUACUUUGAGACGAGGAAAACGCAAGAGAGAAAUGGUAGAGAUAGCGACUGAUGACGGGAAAAGCGAGCUUCAUUAAUGUCCGGAGUCUCUUGCGUGGGAUUAGCGAAAUUUGAAUUAAACCCUGAGAGAAUGUUAUACAUAUAGUUCUGCCAUUUCAAUGCCAAAAGGAGGGCAAUGGUACACAGGAGAGAAUGUUAUAUAUGCAGUAGAAUCUAAAGUGGUCAAAAGAUGAGAUUGCUGUAAAAAGAUCUUUAACGUUCUGAAGUGGUGACAAUAACAUACACAUGUACGGACUGUGGCUUCCGAGAAUCCACUUCACAUUUCUGAGGAACCACGAACGGGACACAAAGGAGCGAGCCGCGAUUUUGGACGUUUGAACAAACUCGUGGUCUCUCGUGUCAUCUCUACCUUUUGUGACGCGGUAUAGACGAGCAUCCGCGAGCGAACGCGAGCA